GCUUUCGUGGUGUAACGGUAUAACACUCGACUCCUAUUCGAGACAUCCAGGUUCGAGCCCCGGCGAGAGCA
rnacentral:tRNA from 1 species